AUUGAACGCUGGCGGCAGGCCUAACACAUGCAAGUCGAGCGGAUGAAGGGAGCUUGCUCCUGGAUUCAGCGGCGGACGGGUGAGUAAUGCCUAGGAAUCUGCCUGGUAGUGGGGGAUAACGUCCGGAAACGGGCGCUAAUACCGCAUACGUCCUGAGGGAGAAAGUGGGGGAUCUUCGGACCUCACGCUAUCAGAUGAGCCUAGGUCGGAUUAGCUAGUUGGUGGGGUAAAGGCCUACCAAGGCGACGAUCCGUAACUGGUCUGAGAGGAUGAUCGGUCACACUGGAACUGAGACACGGUCCAGACUCCUACGGGAGGCAGCAGUGGGGAAUAUUGAGCAAUGGGCGAAAGCCUGACCCAGCCACGCCGCGUGAGUGAAGAAGGUCUUCGGAUUGUAAAACUCUUUAAGUAGGGAAGAAGAGAAGUAGAUUAAACCGUGCCUUUUUUGACGGUACCUAAAAAAAAAGCCCCGGCUAACUUCGUG
rnacentral:rRNA from 1 species